rnacentral:rRNA from 1 species
AUCUUCCACAAUGGGCGAAACCCUGACGCAGCAACGCCGCGUGCAGGAAGAAGGUCUUCGGAUUGUAAACUGUUGUCGCAAGGGAAGAAGAAAAUGACGGUACCUUGUGAGAAAGUCACGGCUAACUACGUUCCACCAGCCGCGGUAAUACGUAGGUGACAAGCGUUGUCCGGAUUUACUGGGUGUAAAGGGCGCGUAGGCGGGAUAGCAAGUCAGAAGUGAAAUGCCGGGGCUCAACCCCGGAGCUGCUUUUGAAACUGUUAUUCUUGAGUAUCGGAGAGGAAAGCGGAAUUCCCAGUGUAGCGGUGAAAUGCGUAGAUAUUGGGAGGAACACCAGUGGCGAAGGCGGCUUUCUAGACGACAACUGACGCUGAGGCGCGAAAGUGUGGGGAGCAAA